rnacentral:piRNA from 1 species
UUGUGUUCAUGAAGGAAUACA